rnacentral:rRNA from 1 species
ACAAUGUACAACUCUUAUCGAUAAGCCAUUGGAGGGCAAGUCUGGUGCCAGCAGCCGCGGUAAUUCCAGCUCCAAUAGCGUAUAUUAACGUUGUUGCAGUUAAAAAGCUCGUAGUUGAAGUGUGGGUGAUCGCUGUUGUGAGACUUCGGUCUCUCGACAGUAAGUCACCCCCUUCCAGUAUCCAGUAGUGGGUAUUCAGUUACUUACUAUUGUGUGUUGGUCCUUUACUGUGAGAAAAUUAGAGUGUUCAAAGCAGGCGUUUGCUUGAAUAGAUUAGCAUGGAAUAAUAAUUGAAGGCUUUCGUGUUCGAUUUGAUUGGUUUGUUCAUGGAAGCAAGGUUAAAAGGAACAGUUGGGGGUAUUCAUAUUCACUAGUUAGAGGUGAAAUUCU